rnacentral:rRNA from 1 species
CAAUAGCGUAUAUUAAAGCUGUUGCGGUUAAAAAGCUCGUAGUUGGAUUUCGGGUGGGACGCAGCGGUCUCGCAUUGCGUUUGUACUGCUGCAGCCCUCCUUCUUGCCGGGGGCGGCCUCUCGGACUUCACUGUCUGGGGGUCAGAAUCGGCGAUGUUACUUUGAGUAAAUUAGAGUGUUCAAAGCAAGCUUACGCUCUGAAUAUAAUAGCAUGGGAUAACACGACAGGACUCUGGCCUAUCGUGUUGGUCUAUAGGACCAGAGUAAUGAUUAAGAGGGACAGUCGGGGGCAUUCGUAUUCCGUUGUCAGAGGUGAAAUUCUUGGAUUUACGGAAGACGAACAUCUGCGAAAGCAUUUGCCAAGGAUGUUUUCAUUGA